rnacentral:rRNA from 1 species
UACGAAGGGGGCUAGCGUUGCUCGGAAUUACUGGGCGUAAAGGGCGCGUAGGCGGGUCGUUUAGUUAGAGGUGAAAGCCCAGGGCUCAACCCUGGAAUGCCUUUAAUACUGGCGGCCUUGAGUAUGGCAGAGGUGUGUGGAACUGGCGAGUGUAGAGGUGAAAUUCGUAGAUAUUCGCAAGAACACCAGUGGCGAAGGCGGCUCACUGGCCCGGUACUGACGCUGAGGCACGAAAGCGUGGGGAG